rnacentral:misc_RNA from 1 species
UGGCUCUCGCAUCGAUGAAGAACGCAGCAAAGCGCGAAAUGUAAUGUGAAUUGCAGAAUUCAGUGAAUCAUCGAAUCUUUGAACGCAUCUUGCGCUCUCGGGUUAUUCCUGGGAGCAUGCUUGUUUGAGUAACAGAAAAGCUCAACCCCGCUUUCUUAAUUGAAAGUAGUGUUUUGGGUUAGGAUCGUGACAGCCUGUCGUUUCUAAUAACGAAACAACUCUGUCGAAAGUAAAGCGGCUGAACUUUGUAUCGUGCGCUAGACACUAUUGUUAUAACAUCCUUAACCGGUCUCAAUAGAAUAGCAUGAUCAAAAUCAAGUAAGCCUUGGAAUUGCCAUAGUCUUUUUCAAUAAAGAUUAUUUUUUUAAGCUUGUUCUCAAAUCAAGUAGGACUACCCGCUGA